rnacentral:rRNA from 1 species
GAUGAACGCUAGCUACAGGCUUAACACAUGCAAGUCGAGGGGUAACAAGAGAAAAGCUUGCUUCUCUUGUUGACGACCGGCGCACGGGUGAGUAACGCGUAUCCAACCUGCCUAUAACUAGGGAAUAACCUUGCGAAAGUAAGACUAAUACCCUAUGAUUUCCUUUGAUGACAUCAGAUUAGGAAUAAAGAUUUAUCGGUUAUAGAUGGGGAUGCGUCUGAUUAGCUUGUUGGCGGGGUAACGGCCCACCAAGGCAACGAUCAGUAGGGGCUCGGAGGGGAAGGUCCCCCACAUUGGAACUGGGACACGGUCCAAACUCCUACGGGAGGCAGCAGUGAGGAAUAUUGGUCAAUGGGCGGAAGCCUGAACCAGCCAAGUAGCGUGCAGGAUGACGGCCCUAUGGGUUGUAAACUGCUUUUAUACAGGAAUAAAGUUAGCCACGUGUGGUUAUUUGUAGGUACUGUAUGAAUAAGGACCGGCUAAUUCCGUGCCAGCCGCCGCAGUAA